AAGUCGUAACAAGGUUUCCGUAGGUGAACCUGCGGAAGGAUCAUUACAAAUCAAUUGGGGAAAUCGAUAGAUUUCUCUGUAAGCACAGCGGGCGCAAGCUUGCUGAUGUUAACGCUUGUUCAGUUUGACAUAGUAAUUGUACCAUUUAAAAAAUACAACUUUUAACAAUGGAUCUCUUGGCUCUU
rnacentral:misc_RNA from 1 species